rnacentral:rRNA from 1 species
GUUUGUUGGUAGUCAACUUAUUUUGGUUGUUAAUAUAACUUGCUUGCGAGUUUGUAGUCAGAAAAAUAUUUGGUGGUUGUUAGUAUAUGAGAGAAAUAGUUUGGUGGCGAUAGGGAAUAGUACUGUGAUGGAAAAUUGAGAGAGUAAGGAAAUUAAGUUAUAAGUAUAAAUGCGAUUUAGUACCUUGUGUAUUAGGGAUAUUUUAUAUUAAGUAAUUACAUUUAUAUUUCCCGAAAUAAGGAGAGCUAAGUUUGGGGGCAAGUUUUUGUAGCAAAAAGAUUUGUAACUUUAUUUUAGUAGUGAAAUAUUAAUCGGGCCUUAAGGUAUCUGGUUUUCCUCGAAAAAAAUUUAAUUUUUUCUUUAUGUUGAAGGUAGGGAUAAAGCAUAGGAAUAGAGGGGUAGAGCUCUUUAUACAAAAAAUUUUAGCUACAGAGACGGAUGAGUUAAGGGGUAUUGAACUAGGCUUAGAAGUAGCCAUGUAUCCAGGGGGUUACACCUGAGGUAGGUGUUGAAAAUAUUUAUAUUUGUUUUUUAGGGUAGUAGAGGAAAGGGGUUUAAAAUUGAAUUAAACAGUUUAUAAUGAAUAUAUUAGUAUAUUAUAUUGUUUAUGUAAUUUUUAUUGGAGGGGAUAAUAAAUUUAUUUUAAAAAAGUGACGAGAUUAAGGAAUUCGGCAAAAGAUAUUUCCGCCUGUUUAUCAAAAACAUGUCUGUAUGAUAGGUAUAUAAGGUCUGGCCUGCCCACUGAGGAUUUAACGGCCGCGGUAUCAUGACCGUGCGAAGGUAGCAUAAUCACUAGUCUUUUAAUUGGAGGCUGGAAUGAAUGGUUGGACGAGAAAUUAGCUGUCUUAGUUUUGAAAAUUGAAUUUAACUUUUAAGUGAGAAGGCUUAAAUGGGCUAGGGGGACGAUAAGACCCUAUAAAGUUUGUACAUUAAACUAAUUAAAGGUGGUUUAGGUUUAUAAAAUUUGCCAUUAGGGAAGUGUUUAGUUGGGGCGAUUGGGAUAUAAGUUAUCUAACUGUUUCUUUGUUUUAAUCAAAAAUAUUUGAGUUUAUGAUCCUUUUUUAGGAUUAAAGAGUAAAUUACUUUAGGGAUAACAGCGUAAUUUUUUUUGAGAGUUCUUAUCGAUAAGAGAGUUUGCGACCUCGAUGUUGAAUUAAAAUUUCUUUGUGGUGCAGCAGCUACAAAAGAAGGUCUGUUCGACCUUUAAAUUUUUACAUGAUUUGAGUUCAGACCGGCGUGAGCCAGGUUGGUUUCUAUCUUCUAGGGAAAAGAGAGUUAUUUUAGUACGAAAGGAUUAAAUAAUUGAAAAAGUUUUAAAAGGUAAAGAAAUAAAUUUUUAGUUUGUAAGGGCCGGGAACAUGGGUAUU